CGCAGGCGGUCUGUCAAGUCGGAUGUGAAAUCCCCGGGCUCAACCUGGGAACUGCAUUCGAAACUGGCAGGCUUGAGUCUUGUAGAGGGGGGUAGAAUUCCAGGUGUAGCGGUGAAAUGCGUAGAGAUCUGGAGGAAUACCGGUGGCGAAGGCGGCCCCCUGGACAAAGACUGACGCUCAGGUGCGAAAGCGUGGGGAGCAAACAGGAUUAGAUACCCUGGUAGUCCACGCCGUAAACGAUGUCUACUUGGAGGUUGUGCCCUUGAGGCGUGGCUUCCGGAGCUAACGCGUUAAGUAGACCGCCUGGGGAGUACGGCCGCAAGGUUAAAACUCAAAUGAAUUGACGGGGGCCCGCACAAGCGGUGGAGCAUGUGGUUUAAUUCGAUGCAACGCGAAGAACCUUACCUGGUCUUGACAUCCACAGAACUUUCCAGAGAUGGACUGGUGCCUUCGGGAACUGUGAGACAGGUGCUGCAUGGCUGUCGUCAGCUCGUGUUGUGAAAUGUUGGGUUAAGUCCCGCAACGAGCGCAACCCUUAUCCUUUGUUGCCAGCGGUCCGG
rnacentral:rRNA from 1 species